rnacentral:rRNA from 1 species
AGUGAACGCUGGCGGUAGGCCUAACACAUGCAAGUCGAACGGCAGCACAGUAAGAGCUUGCUCUUACGGGUGGCGAGUGGCGGACGGGUGAGGAAUACAUCGGAAUCUACUUUUUCGUGGGGGAUAACGUAGGGAAAAUUACGCUAAUACCGCAUACGACCUACGGGUGAAAGCAGGGGAUCUUCGGACCUUGCGCGAUUGAAUGAGCCGAUGUCGGAUUAGCUAGUUGGCGGGGUAAAGGCCCACCAAGGCGACGAUCCGUAGCUGGUCUGAGAGGAUGAUCAGCCACACUGGAACUGAGACACGGUCCAGACUCCUACGGGAGGCAGCAGUGGGGAAUAUUGGACAAUGGGCGCAAGCCUGAUCCAGCCAUACCGCGUGGGUGAAGAAGGCCUUCGGGUUGUAAAGCCCUUUUGUUGGGAAAGAAAAGCAGCAGGCUAAUACCCCGCUGUUCUGACGGUACCCAAAGAAUAAGCACCGGCUAACUUCGUG